rnacentral:rRNA from 1 species
GAUGGGAGCUUGCUCCCUGAUGUCAGCGGCGGACGGGUGAGUAACACGUGGGUAACCUGCCUGUAAGACUGGGAUAACUCCGGGAAACCGGGGCUAAUACCGGAUGCUUGAUUGAACCGCAUGGUUCAAUUAUAAAAGGUGGCUUUUAGCUACCACUUACAGAUGGACCCGCGGCGCAUUAGCUAGUUGGUGAGGUAACGGCUCACCAAGGCAACGAUGCGUAGCCGACCUGAGAGGGUGAUCGGCCACACUGGGACUGAGACACGGCCCAGACUCCUACGGGAGGCAGCAGUAGGGAAUCUUCCGCAAUGGACGAAAGUCUGACGGAGCAACGCCGCGUGAGUGAUGAAGGUUUUCGGAUCGUAAAACUCUGUUGUUAGGGAAGAACAAGUACCGUUCGAAUAGGGCGGUACCUUGACGGUACCUAACCAGAAAGCCACGGCUAACUACGUGCCAGCAGCCGCGGUAAUACGUAGGUGGCAAGCGUUGUCCGGAAUUAUUGGGCGUAAAGCGCGCGCAGGCGGUUUCUUAAGUCUGAUGUGAAAGCCCCCGGCUCAACCGGGAGGGUCAUUGGAAACUGGGGAACUUGAGUGCAGAAGAGGA